CCCUGGGAACUGCGUUNGAAACUACAGAGCUAGAGUGUGGCAGAGGGGGGNGNAAUUNCAUGUGUAGCAGUGAAAUGNGUAGAGAUAUGGAGGAACAUCGAUGNCGANNNCAGCCCCNUGGGUUNACACUGNCGCUCAUGCANGNNNNCGUGGGGANCAAACANNAUUAGAUACCCUGGUAGUCCACGCCCUNAACUAUGUCAACUAGUUGUCGGGCCUUACUAGGCUNGGUAACGUAGCUAACGCGUGAAGUUGACCGCCUGGGGAGUACGGUCGCAAGAUUAAAACUCAAAGGAAUUGACGGGGACCCGCACAAGCGGUGGAUUAUGUGGAUUAAUUCGAUGCAACGCGAAAAACCUUACCUACCCUUGACAUGUCAGAAAGUUUUCAGAGAUGAAUUCGUGCUCGAAAGAGAAUCUGAACACAGGUGCUGCAUGGCUGUCGUCAGCUCGUGUCGUGAGAUGUUGGGUUAAGUCCCGCAACGAGCGCAACCCUUGUCAUUAAUUGCCAUCAUUUAGUUGGGCACUUUAAUGAGACUGCCGGUGAUAAACCGGAGGAAGGUGGGGAUGACGUCAAGUCCUCAUGGCCCUUA
rnacentral:rRNA from 1 species